rnacentral:lncRNA from 1 species
GGCGGCCGAAAGUCCCUCCAGAGCCGAAAGUCAGGCAGGUUCGGCGGCACCUUCGGCGGCCGAAACUCCCAGACAGAGACGAAACUCAUGCAUGUUCGGCGGCACCUUCGGCGGUCGAAAGUCCCAGACAGAGACGAAAGUCUCCUUUCGGGGGCAACUUCGGCAGCCGAAAGGCCUGCCUCCACAAGGGGGUUCGGCGGCCGAAAGUCCCUUCGGCGGCCGAACCUGAGUUUCUCCCGAAUGGCAGAAACUCAGCUUCCCUAAGCACACUUCACCUCCCAAGCUCAAAUCAUGCAUAC